GUUGCAGCGACGAGUGUCGUAUUUUGUGAUAUUUCUUGUGACGACUCUUGUGGACAAAUACCAGCAUGGAAGACUUAAUAACAAUUGGGGUUUACAUUGCGAGACAACUGAGAUCAUGAGCGACGCCACAGCAGUCGGUCUGUGGAUUGCCCACCUGAGUGUCCUUAAAUGUGCAAUGAAAGCUCACCACACAACACACCGUAUUUAAUGUCCCUUGUGGAAGAUGGCAUGUCUAAGCAACCUGUAUCCUGGCACUAAGUUGCUGCUGUUUUUGGCCGGGUUCGAACCAGCGAUCUCGGGAUCAGAAGGCGAACAGACUCACUCACCAGGGCCGGUUCAUGGACAACUUGAACACCACAAUUAUGUUAACUCUGCCAUCAAGUAAUUCAGUUUCCUGCAUAUGUUUUGUAACAAUUGAACUUCAGUUUUGUAAGCCUGAAAGCUAAGCUUAGAACCACCUCUUAUAAUAUAGUGACUGUAUUUGAUGUGUGAAUGUGUUCACACCUCUUAAAAAGCUAAUAAAACAAAAAUCUUGAUGA